CCUACGGGAGGCAGCAGUGGGGAAUAUUGGACAAUGGGGGAAACCCUGAUCCAGCGACGCCGCGUGAGUGAAGAAGGAUUUCGGUACGUAAAGCACUAUCAGCAGGAAAGAAAAUGACGGUACCUGACUAAGAAGCCACGGCUAACCACGGACCAGCAGCCGCGGUAAUACGUGGGGGGCAAGCGUUAUCCGGAUUUACGGGGUGGAAAGGGAGCGUAGACGGCAGCGCAAGUCUGGAGCGAAAGGCCGGGGCCCAACCCCGGAACUGCUCUGGAAACUGGGAAGCUGGAGUGCAGGAGAGGUAAGCGGAAUUCCUGGUGUAGCGGUGAAAUGCGUAGAUAGCAGGAGGAACACCGGCGGCGAAGGCGGCUUACUGGACUGUAACUGACGUUGAGGCUCGAAGGCGUGGGGAGCAAACAGGAUUAGAUACCCCGGUAGUC
rnacentral:rRNA from 1 species